rnacentral:tRNA from 1 species
ACCGGGUUAGUCUAUCGGAUAGAAUAUCCGGCUACGAACCGGAAGAGACAGGUUCGAUUCCUGUACCCGGUGCCA